GGAAAGGCGCGCGAUACAGGGUGACAGCCCCGUACACAAAAAUGCACAUGCUGUGAGCUCGAUGAGUAGGGCGGGACACGUGGUAUCCUGUCUGAAUAUGGGGGGACCAUCCUCCAAGGCUAAAUACUCCUGACUGACCGAUAGUGAACCAGUACCGUGAGGGAAAGGCGAAAAGAACCCCGGCGAGGGGAGUGAAAAAGAACCUGAAACCGUGUACGUACAAGCAGUGGGAGCACGCUUAGGCGUGUGACUGCGUACCUUUUGUAUAAUGGGUCAGCGACUUAUAUUCUGUAGCAAGGUUAACCGAAUAGGGGAGCCGAAGGGAAACCGAGUCUUAACUGGGCGUUAAGUUGCAGGGUAUAGACCCGAAACCCGGUGAUCUAGCCAUGGGCAGGUUGAAGGUUGGGUAACACUAACUGGAGGACCGAACCGACUAAUGUUGAAAAAUUAGCGGAUGACUUGUGGCUGGGGGUGAAAGGCCAAUCAAACCGGGAGAUAGCUGGUUCUCCCCGAAAGCUAUUUAGGUAGCGCCUCGUGAAUUCAUCUCCGGGGGUAGAGCACUGUUUCGGCAAGGGGGUCAUCCCGACUUACCAACCCGAUGCAAACUGCGAAUACCGGAGAAUGUUAUCACGGGAGACACACGGCGGGUGCUAACGUCCGUCGUGAAGAGGGAAACAACCCAGACCGCCAGCUAAGGUCCCAAAGUCAUGGUUAAGUGGGAAACGAUGUGGGAAGGCCCAGACAGCCAGGAUGUUGGCUUAGAAGCAGCCAUCAUUUAAAGAAAGCGUAAUAGCUCACUGGUCGAGUCGGCCUGCGCGGAAGAUGUAACGGGGCUAAACCAUGCACCGAAGCUGCGGCAGCGACGCUGAUGCGUUGUUGGGUAGGGGAGCGUUCUGUAAGCCUGCGAAGGUGUGCUGUGAGGCAUGCUGGAGGUAUCAGAAGUGCGAAUGCUGACAUAAGUAACGAUAAAGCGGGUGAAAAGCCCGCUCGCCGGAAGACCAAGGGUUCCUGUCCAACGUUAAUCGGGGCAGGGUGAGUCGACCCCUAAGGCGAGGCCGAAAGGCGUAGUCGAUGGGAAACAGGUU
rnacentral:rRNA from 1 species